rnacentral:sRNA from 1 species
AGGGCGACCGGAUCCACGCCGCGGGUCACCACCAGGUAGUCGCGGAUCACGACGCUGUGGCGCAUCUC